GGGCGAUUAGCUCAGUUGGUUAGAGCGCCACGUUUACACCGUGGUGGUCGGCGGUUCGAGUCCGUCAUCGCCCACCA
rnacentral:tRNA from 1 species